GUCUCUGAAACAAAAGAAACUCUGUUAGUUUCUGAGGUAACAUCCAAGGAGGAUUACAUGGCCAUUUCUUCAUGAACAGUAAGAGGUUUUGUUUUUGUUUUUCUGGUGCCUUCAGGAACCAGAUAUUCUACCCUAACUUUUCUGGAUGUUUGUAUGUUUGCACCACGCUCUACUGGAGAAAAACCGAUUGUGUUUAAUUCAAGUCUAAGCACUGACUGCCACAUUUUCCAGUGCCAAAAACUUUAUAUCAUGAACAAAUUGAAAAUCAGUUUAUUGAGAUGAUUAAAGAGGUAAAUAAUUCAUACUUUACUGUGAAUUUACGAACCAGUUCUACUGCAUCUGCUUAGAUGUUUUUAUACUUCACAUUAAUUUUCACACUUGGCUGUUUUUAUCUACAGCUAUUAGGAACAACCAGUGGCUCUUACCUCAGAAAUGACUUCCUUUCUGCUCAGAGAGCCUGUUUGUCGUCUGCAAUGUUUGUAGCAUCCAGUCCCCGAACUCUUUGCUCAUUUACACUGUUUUAGUGCAAAACAUGUCAGACCAACACUCGUUAACUCACACUGCAAGGCUGUAAACCCAAAAUGCUUUUUUAAAAAUGACUAUUUUACCAACAUAAAAGAACAUCGCAGUGACACAUUAAUUGAAUGUCCACUAAUUAAUUUUGCAAGAUUCUUUAUUUAGCAACGCUUUGCAGAGGCCAGUAACAGGUUAAGCCAGCAGCAGCAAACAGGUGCCAACAGUAAGUCAACGGAAUAUAUGGUAAAAUCAACUGUAACACACCUUUUCCUACUUCUGAAACUGAGAGCACUAAAAGGAGACCUUGAGAGAUGGAGGAUGGAAUUGGAACCACAGUACCGGCCUGAUGAUGGAGGAAGAGUCGCAGCAGGAUGUGGCUCACAGAACUGACUGAUGAAGGCAGGCGUCCCUGCAGGUCUGAUGAGCCUUUACCUCUGUGCGAAUACUGGGGUUUCCCGGGCCCUGGAUGAUGGAAGAGGUCCAAUUUAGAACUGCAGAUUUUGGGGGUUCUUAAGGUAAUUUUCUCGUACGCAGCUUUUUUCUGCAGCUCUUGGAUCCUCUUCAUCUUGUUUUAAGGCCUUUUUAGUCUGUUCAGCUGUAAGACAGUUGACUGGUUGGAAGGAAAGCCAGAGUCCCUCUUCUCUGCAGUGGACUUUAAGGGUUCUUGAACUGGGAACAAUUAAAGAUCACAGUCUGCUCCUACCAUCAUCAUCAGUGGUUUCAGUUUCUCCUUUGGUCAGACCAUUUGUUUGUUGAUCAGCACACUCCUUUCCUUGGUUUCUCUUUUGCCUGGGUUCAUGCCUCUCGUGCUCUGGUUGAUCAUUCUUGCUCUCCUUUCAGUUUCUCUUUUUCCAUAACCUUUCCCCUAAACUCUGACACUUCACACCAUUAAGAGACAACAUCCUUCAUUAAACUCUGAUCAUCUUUAACUGAGUUUAGAUGCUCAGUUAAAGCAUGUAAACUCUUUGGGUUUACAUGCUUUUUCUGAUUACAAACACAUUAAACAUGAUUAUUGCUGAUAAUUGUUAACAAUAAAUCUCCCCUAGAUCUGUAUGUGAAGGAUUAAGCCAGUGCAAAAAGAAUUAUAUAUAUUAAAUAGAAUACAAAGGUAUAUCUUUCGGAUCACACUUCUCAGAACAUCCGACAGUAAAACACCUGAAAUGAUCAGCGAUUUUACCCCCAA